GGAGGGAGUUCACACCUCUCCUCCGGGAACCAGCAUGAACUCCGAGGAGCAGGGCAGUGGACACGGAGCGCGGGGCUGCGAGGAGCCACAUGUGCCUGGAGCCAGAGCACAGAGGGGGUGGGGAGUCCUCGGAGACCCAGGCUGGACUGAGGGGGAGCCCUACUCAUGACCCCACGCUCGAGUGCGCCCGAUGCCCUGACUGCCCGAAGUGUCCCACAUGCCCAGAGCCCCCGCCCUGUCCUGUCUGCCCACCGCAUCCCACAUGCCCAGCUCCUGAACACCUGGUAGGGCUGUCAGUCUUCAUCUUCUCUCCUAAACCCAAGGACACUCUCACAAACUCCCAAACUCCCGAGGUCACCUGCGUGGUGGUGGACGUGAGCCCAGAACCACCCGAUGUCCAGUUCACCUGGUACAUGGACAAUAAAGAGGUGAACACGGCCACAACGAUGCCGAAUACGGAACGGCUCAACAGCACCUACCGCGUGGUCAGCGUCCUACCCAUCCAGCACCAGGACUGGCUGAGUGGAAAGGAGUUCAAGUGUAAGGUCAACAGCAGAGCCCUUCCGACCCCCAUUGAGAAGACCAUCUCCAAGGCCAAAGGGCAUCCCCGGGAGCCACAGGUUUACGUCCUCCCCCCAAGCCAUGCUGAGCUGUCCAGAGAAAGGGUCAUCGUGACCUGCCUGGUCAAAGACUUCUACCCACCUGACAUCAACGUGGAGUGGCAGAGCAACGGGCAGCCAGAGCCGGAGGAGAAGUACAGCACCACCCCGCCCCAGAGGGAGGGCGAUGGGUCUUAUUUCCUGUACAGCAAGCUCUCGGUGGAGACGGACAGGUGGCAGCAGGGAGACGUGUUCACAUGUGGGGUGAUGCACGAGGCUCUCGACAAACAGUACACGCAGAAAUCCACCAACAAGGCUACGGAGAUAGUCCUGGACGAGAGCUGUGCUGAGACCCAGGACGGGGAGCUGGACGAGCUGUGGACCACCAUCUCCAUCAUCACACUCUUCCUGCUCAGCGUGUGCUACAGCGCCACCAUCACCCUCUUCAAGGUGAAGUGGAUCUUCUCCUCGCUGGUGGAGCUGAAGCCGACCAUCGUCCCUGACUACAGGAACGUGAUCGGGAAGGGGGCCUAGGGCCACUCUUCCUGGGUGGGCUUCCCAGACCGCCCCGGACCUCAGACAGGAUUCGAGUCCUUCACUUCAUGAUGCUCCGCCUGCCACCUAGACCUCCUCUGCUGCCCUCUGACCUCACCGCCCCCUUCAGCCUGAACCCCACCCUCUGGCCUUGCAGUCACCACAGGCUGCAUCCUGCCCCCUGACUGCGUUUGGAGAACUGAGUGCACGGCAGUUGUAACCCUGAGCUGAGCUCAGGGUUACACCCACCGGCCCCUCCAGAGCAGCCACCAAGAAACGCCAGGGUCAUGUGGACGCUGAGUCAUCAGAGCCGAGCGUCACUCAUCAGGACUGUCCUGGGGUCUGCGUGUGCGGUCACCCCAGAGGAGAUGGAGGACCAAAGUGUCUGUGUCUGUCUGGACAUGGGCGUACCUUCAUGUAAACCGCUUCCAUGCCAGGGUCCAGGACAAAUGGUUCCCGAGAGGAGACUUGUGGUUUCAGAUCCUUGAGUGGGAACUUCUGCCACCAAUGCCAGGGGGAUCCAAGGCCAUCCUCCACCAACAGAGAAGUUUACAGUCAUGACCCUAACGGUCACUCAGUCACCGCCUCCCAAGGAGAGCACUCAGAGGAGGCCCUGGGCCAUGGCCGCUACAGGGCCCAGGGGUGGCGGUGACACCACCAGGGGAGGGGUGAGUGUCUGGUCAGACAGGCCUCCUGUAGAGGGGCCUAGUGAGCAGGUCCCCGAGCAACGAGAAGUGGCCAUGGUGGACAGAGGUGAAGGAGGGCCAGGAGAGCAGCGCCACAGGCACAGCCACCCCGACCUGAUGCCAGCAGGGCCUGAGUCACGUCCACAGGAUCUCCGGUUGCUCCAUGGCCCAGGGCUGAGAGAAGACACCCCUGAAUAGAGAGCCUGUGGCCUUGGGGAGCCAACCAGGUGGACCAACCUCCAACCUCCGGCCUCACUGGCCCCAGAACAGACUCCCCCCUCAUGUCUCUGAGCAAAUGGCAAGUCGGCAUCUCUAGAUGGGAAAGACACGGAUGCUCACAGGAAGGAGAGGUGGACCCCUGCACUGACAACUGGGGGACAAUGCUCAGAGAGAUUGCUCAAAGAAAGGACACGUUGUAGUUGGGGUAGCUUUUUCCCUUCUUUUUAAAU